rnacentral:lncRNA from 1 species
UUGCUUGUUAUCUGUUGCCAUAAUUUGUAGAUACUGGCUGAUACCUAUUGCAUGGGGUUCUCCUCAGCACGGAUACAUUUAUCUGUUUUCCAGUGCCUGCACUUCCUUUAGAUGUCAGCAGCAGGAUACCUGAAAAAAGCAGAGAUGUUGUGACUGACUUGCCUUUGCUAUCCUUAUAA